rnacentral:rRNA from 1 species
AGAGUUCGAUCCUGGCUCAGGAUGAACGCUGGCGGCGCGCCUAACACAUGCAAGUCGAACGGCACCCACCUUCGGGUGGAAGCGAGUGGCGAACGGCUGAGUAACACGUGGAGAACCUGCCCCCUCCCCCGGGAUAGCCGCCCGAAAGGACGGGUAAUACCGGAUACCCCGGGGUGCCGCAUGGCACCCCGGCUAAAGCCCCGACGGGAGGGGAUGGCUCCGCGGCCCAUCAGGUAGACGGCGGGGUGACGGCCCACCGUGCCGACAACGGGUAGCCGGGUUGAGAGACCGACCGGCCAGAUUGGGACUGAGACACGGCCCAGACUCCUACGGGAGGCAGCAGUGGGGAAUCUUGCGCAAUGGGGGGAACCCUGACGCAGCGACGCCGCGUGCGGGACGGAGGCCUUCGGGUCGUAAACCGCUUUCAGCAGGGAAGAGUCAAGACUGUACCUGCAGAAGAAGCCCCGGCUAACUACGUGCCAGCAGCCGCGGUAAUACGUAGGGGGCGAGCGUUAUCCGGAUUCAUUGGGCGUAAAGCGCGCGUAGGCGGCCCGGCAGGCCGGGGGUCGAAGCGGGGGGCUCAACCCCCCGAAGCCCCCGGAACCUCCGCGGCUUGGGUCCGGUAGGGGAGGGUGGAACACCCGGUGUAGCGGUGGAAUGCGCAGAUAUCGGGUGGAACACCGGUGGCGAAGGCGGCCCUCUGGGCCGAGACCGACGCUGAGGCGCGAAAGCUGGGGGAGCGAACAGGAUUAGAUACCCUGGUAGUCCCAGCCGUAAACGAUGGACGCUAGGUGUGGGGGGACGAUCCCCCCGUGCCGCAGCCAACGCAUUAAGCGUCCCGCCUGGGGAGUACGGCCGCAAGGCUAAAACUCAAAGGAAUUGACGGGGGCCCGCACAAGCAGCGGAGCAUGUGGCUUAAUUCGAAGCAACGCGAAGAACCUUACCAGGGCUUGACAU